ACUUUUCCCUCUAUUUUGCUCAUCACAGCAUCCACGAACACUUGAUUUGACUGGCCAGCCAUUGCCCCAACUCCCUCUCUUCUCUUCACCUAAUCAAACCCAAAGACUUUUUCUUCUUCUUGUCAACUAACACUUCACAUUUGUAUAUUAAUCAGUCAACACGACGUUUCUCCGGUUGCUUUAUCACCGAAAUAAUCAUCCAUAAUUGCUUCUACAGUUGUUAAACCAUUAAUAAUAGCGGUUUAACGAAUUUCAUGGAGAACAGUAGUAACAAAGAGACGGCGAUGAGACUUAGA
rnacentral:misc_RNA from 1 species